rnacentral:rRNA from 1 species
UACAGAGGUCCCAAGCGUUGUUCAGAUUCAUUGGGCGUAAAGGGUGCGUAGGCGGCGCGGUAAGUCGGGUGUGAAAUCUCGGGGCUUAACUCCGAAACUGCAUUCGAUACUGCCGUGCUUGAGGACUGGAGAGGAGACUGGAAUUUACGGUGUAGCGGUGAAAUGCGUAGAUAUCGUAAGGAAGACCAGUGGCGAAGGCGGGUCUCUGGACAGUUCCUGACGCUGAGGCACGAAGGUCAGGGGAGCAAACGGG